AGAGUUUGAUCMUGGCUCAGGAUGAACGCUGGCGGCGUGCUUAACACAUGCAAGUCGAACGGAGAAUCGAAGCUUGCUUUGAUUCUUAGUGGCGGACGGGUGAGUAACGCGUGGGUAACCUGCCCUUAAGUGGGGGACAACAGUUGGAAACGACUGCUAAUACCGCAUAAAGUCAGAGGUCCGCAUGGACUUUUGACCAAAGGAGCAAUCCGCUUUUGGAUGGACCCGCGUCUGAUUAGCUAGUUGGUGGGGUAGAGGCCUACCAAGGCGACGAUCAGUAGCCGGCCUGAGAGGGUGACCGGCCACACUGGGACUGAGACACGGCCCAGACUCCUACGGGAGGCAGCAGUGGGGAAUCUUSCGCAAUGGRCGSAAGYCUGACGSAGCAACGCCGCGUGAGGGAYGACGGCCUUCGGGUUGUAAACCUCUUUCGCGAUCGACGAAGCUCCAUCUUCUGGAUGGGGUGACGGUAGGUCGAGAAGAAGCACCGGCCAACUACGUGCCAGCAGCCGCGGUAAUA
rnacentral:rRNA from 1 species